UUGGCUUGAUUCUUGUUCCACAAAUGAAACCUCUUUCAGUUACGCAAACGACACAGUUUCAGAGGAUGAUCAAGAUAUGCUAUAGAAAAUCAGCUUUACUUCUUCACAUGAAUGGUGAUUUAUUAUUUUAUUCUCAGGUUCUACCUUCUUAUGAUAAAUGCACAUUUAUAAAAUGAUUAGAAAAAUAUAUCAGCCUACACGAUCUCACUCUUAUAAACUAUUGCAGCAAAAGGAAACACUUCAGAGAGUGAAAGUUCAUAAAGCUCCCUCGCCAUUCAUAGACAAUGAGAAUAAAAUGAAAAGAAAAAUAAAAAAUAUCUGAGAAAUGUCCAAUGCCAGAGUCACCGAGGCAGUUCAAGGUCCGGUCUUCGAUCGAGGGCUUCUACAGUAGAAUCAUCUGGAAAAGCAUCUGGAUAGGUCGCUAAGAUCUUUGCCUUCAUGCUCCUAGCAAUUCAUAACAAACAUCAUAUUUUUAUUGCCCGUAAUAAUCUCCAAAAUGAAUCUUUAGCUAGAGAUCUGAUGACAAAUAAGUUCAGUAAAAGAUGAAAUUUGUUUACCAGAAGUAUGAUAAUACAGCUAGAGACAAGAAUUUACAGGUAAAGGACAUCAGAAAGGAGAUCCUACCCACCACAUAAAACAGCUUCUAUAAGAUGACCGUUUCACUUAUUAAUUAAUGUUCUCUUACUCAUAUUUCAGUCAAAUAAAAUUGGUUUGAUGCCGAAGUCGAAUUAUUUUCUUUCUUUCUUUCUAGCAUAAGACAUAAAGUUAGAAUGUUCUACCCAUUUAGUUGAGACCUCACAAGUCACAUUUCAUACUUGCAUUUGUCAUUAGAAAGUCAUGGAUCCCUUGUCAAUCAAGACUGUCGGACAUAUUUGCCUUUAAACUGAAAGAGGAAAAAAAAAAAACGAGAAAUCCAAAGGAAUUCGAGUUUGCUCGGUUUGCAAGAAAAAUAUUUAUUGGGGAUUAGCAAAUCAUACAGUAGCUCUAGGAGGGCUCAAGAGCUAAGUUUACUUCGUUUGCAAGAAGAAAAAGAAAAAUUAUUGGGGAUAAGCAAAGCAUAAAAGUAAUCUGGAGGGACUUAGGGCUGGGGAGGACUAGUAAACUCCAGUUGCAGAGGCAGCACGACAUGGACCUUUGAUUUCAAGCAGAUAGUGGUUUACUAAAUGAGACUGGAACUCAAGAAGUGCUAGAUUCAAAGAAUCUAGAGGAACAACUUAGCCUUACGUUCUAAUUCAAUUCUGUUGUAGCUAACAUCAUCCAUCUAACCUUGGAAGAAGGUUCACAAACUUCUAGUUCAGCAUUAAAGGGGCUAAAGGGAUUUUAAUCCUAUUCUUGGACGUAGCAAACCACUCCCUCAAAAGUUGCCUAAGCCGCCUAAUGGCCAGAGAACUAUUGAAAUUGCCACUUAAGAUGUCAACUGAAGUCUCUUUCAGAAUAGGAAAGUGGCAUUCAUCCUAGGUAAUAUUACUGUCAGAACUAUAUUUGCAUACACAGCCCAUUCACCAAACCCUGGAAAUUGUCCAACCAAUAAGAACUAAAAGCCUAUCUCCAAGGCAAGUGGUUCAAAGGCUCAUCAGAUCAACCGACAAACUAAGACUGCCACAGACCAAACCAACUACUAUAAAUAUAGGGCACUAACGACCUCCAGUGAGACAAAUCUGCUUCCAUCAAGCCAAAACUCUGCUAAUGACCUUAGACAUCCUGAUUUUUAAGUACUCUAAAGAACCUUAGAGGAUGCAUUAGUGUGUUUGUUCAAUGUUACUGAUAGCAUUUUAAUUAAAACUUGCAACUUUAAGAUAUUUAGCCAUUAAAUUAUAUUGCUCAAAUCCGCUAAAAAUUUAAAGCUUCCUCCAGUCAUUUUGCCCAAACUUUUUUUAACAUGUAAUCUGCAGAACAAUUUUACAGAAACUAUAUUGUCCCGAUCAUAUCUUGUGUGUUUGAACCAACACAAGUAAGGCCAAUACAAAUUUAUGUUAUAGAGAAACUAAAAUUUACCAAAUUCUUGAUGAUUGAAUUCCAUGAUAUUAGAACCAAUACGUAUUUUGUAUAUCGUUAUGAAGUUAGUUAGCUAGUUAGGUAGUUAGUUUUACCAGCCAGAAUUUUUAGUUAUGACAGCUGGAUUUUUCUUUCUCAUUUAGCGCCUAUUUAUACUUUACUUGUACAUCCAUUUUCGUGACUUUUGAUCAAUAACAGAUUCCGAUUUUCACUUCAAUUCAGUUCUAGUAUGGUACCAAAGCAUAUUCCUUCCAACUCUCACUUCCUUCUUCGAUUCAUCUUGCAGUGAUUUCUUUCUGAGUCUGAUGGAAUCACAAUCUGAUAACAAUUCUGAUUCAAGGUCAUAUAUGAGCAAGUCCGCCAUUGAUGAACCUUCUAGUCUUUACUUCUCCACCAUUCCGAUAGUCCUGGAUUCAUGCUUGUGUCUCAGCAGC
rnacentral:lncRNA from 1 species